rnacentral:rRNA from 1 species
GAUCCUGGCUCAGGACGAACGCUGGCGGCGCGCCUAACACAUGCAAGUCGAACGAGAGAGAGGAAGCUUGCUUCCUCAAUCGAGUGGCGAACGGGUGAGUAACGCGUGAGGAACCUGCCUCAAAGAGGGGGACAACAGUUGGAAACGACUGCUAAUACCGCAUAAGCCCACGGCUCGGCAUCGAGCAGAGGGAAAAGGAGCAAUCCGCUUUGAGAUGGCCUCGCGUCCGAUUAG